rnacentral:rRNA from 1 species
UACGGAGGGGGCGAGCGUUGUCCGAAGUUACUGGGCGUAAAGCGCGCGUAGGCGGGGUGUUAAGUCUGCUGUGAAAUCCUGAGGCUCAACCUCAGUAGGUCGGUGGAUACUGGCAUCCUGGAAGCGAAUAGGGGGAGAUGGAAUUACUAGUGUAGCGGUGAAAUGCGUAGAUAUUAGUAGGAACACCCGUGGCGAAGGCGGUCUCCUGGGUUUGUCUUGACGCUGAGGCGCGAAAGCUGGGGGAGCGAACGGG